rnacentral:rRNA from 1 species
UACGGGGGGGGGCAAGCGUUGUUCGGAAUUACUGGGCGUAAAGGGCUCGUAGGCGGCCAACUAAGUCAGACGUGAAAUCCCUCGGCUUAACCGGGGAACUGCGUCUGAUACUGGAUGGCUUGAAUCCGGGAGAGGGAUGCGGAAUUCCAGGUGUAGCGGUGAAAUGUGUUGAUAUCGGAAGGAACGCCGGUGGCGAAAGCGACCUGCUGGAUCUCUUCUGACGCUGAGGCGCGAAAGCUAGGGGAGCGAACGGGG